GAUGAACGCUGGCGGCGUGCCUAAUACAUGCAAGUCGAGCGAACGGACGAGAAGCUUGCUUCUCUGAUGUUAGCGGCGGACGGGUGAGUAACACGUGGAUAACCUACCUAUAAGACUGGGAUAACUUCGGGAAACCGUAGCUAAUACCGGAUAAUAUUUUGAACCGCAUGGUUCAAAAGUGAAAGACGGUCUUGCUGUCACUUAUAGAUGGAUCCGCGCUGCAUUAGCUAGUUGGUAAGGUAACGGCUUACCGAGGCAACGAUGCAUAGCCGACCUGAGAGGGUGAUCGGCCACACUGGAACUGAGACACGGUCCAGACUCCUACGGGAGGCAGCAGUAGGGAAUCUUCCGCAAUGGGCGAAAGCCUGACGGAGCAACGCCGCGUGAGUGAUGAAGGUCUUCGGAUCGUAAAACUCUGUUAUUAGGGAAGAACAUAUGUGUAAGUAACUGUGCACAUCUUGACGGUACCUAAUCAGAAAGCCGCGGCUAACUACGUG
rnacentral:rRNA from 1 species